rnacentral:rRNA from 1 species
CCUACGGGGGGCUGCAGUGGGGAAUCUUCCGCAAUGGGCGAAAGCCUGACGGAGCAACGCCGCGUGAGUGAUGAAGGUCUUCGGAUCGUAAAACUCUGUUAUUAGGGAAGAACAAAUGUGUAAGUAACUAUGCACGUCUUGACGGUACCUAAUCAGAAAGCCACGGCUAACUACGUGCCAGCAGCCGCGGUAAUACGUAGGUGGCAAGCGUUAUCCGGAAUUAUUGGGCGUAAAGCGCGCGUAGGUGGUUUUUUAAGUCUGAUGUGAAAGCCCACGGCUCAACCGUGGAGGGUCAUUGGAAACUGGAAAACUUGAGUGCAGAAGAGGAAAGUGGAAUUCCAUGUGUAGCGGUGAAAUGCGCAGAGAUAUGGAGGAACACCAGUGGCGAAGGCGACUUUCUGGUCUGUAACUGACGCUGAUGUGCGAAAGCGUGGGGAUCAAACAGGAUUAGAUACCCGGGUAGUC